ACCUUGGUCAUGUUGACCAGGUUGACUAGAGACAUUCCUACUUCCCUUUGACUGUUUGACUAGUUAUGGGGAUUCCUGACACUGUUGCUCUGCAAACUUGAUUCUCACCCAGCUGGCUCCUUCUCCCCGUGAAGCUUCGGUCUUGUCAUGGUUGGUGAGAGAGGCACUCUUCCUCUUCCUCAUCUUCUUCUCCUCCUUCCUCUAUUUAGCAGCCUUUCUUUGAGUUCGGACUGAAGAGGUGGCAAGCUUCCUUUGAACUUCGGACUGAAGAAGCCAGCCGUGAGGAGGAGCUCGGAGUCGCAUUGCUUGAGUUCGGCAGCGGCGAAGGAGGCUGAAGAUUCACCGUUUCUCUCUUCAUCAAGCUUCAGAUUUUGGUAGCGAGCCUUAGUUCGCGGGACUGGGUGGACCCAACUCUGUAGCUUGGAGCCAGGAGAAGAUCAAGGCUAGGAUCGGGGGUGCGGGGGUC